AGGGUGCAAGCGUUGUCCGGAAUUAUUUGGCGUAAAGAGCUUGUAGGCGGUUUGUCGCGUCUGCUGUGAAAUUUCGGGGCUCAACCCCGAACUUGCAGUGGGUACGGGCAGACUAGAGUGUGGUAGGGGAGACUGGAAUUCCUGGUGUAGCGGUGAAAUGCGCAGAUAUCAGGAGGAACACCGGUGGCGAAGGCAGGUCUCUGGGCCAUAACUGACGCUGAGAAGCGAAAGCAUGGGGAGCGAACAGG
rnacentral:rRNA from 1 species